ensembl:lncRNA
GUGCCGUACUGCUGGAUGAUAACUGUGCGGAUGUGGACCCACUUAGUGUUUGAUCAGUGAGGAGGAAGGUGAGAGCUGCAUUCCUGACCUGUGGAGGUGAGGUCCAUGGGAGGAAAGAUCUGCUGCUCGAUUGAUGAAUCCAUCUGAAGUCCCGAACGCUGUGCCAAAACCACAAGUGAAACAGAGUCACAUGAGGUGGAAUGAACAUUGAGGCUUCGUCACAGGCCACAAUGACUCAGACUUAGAGGACCCACUUACUUCCACACUCACCAAUUUACCCACCCGCUAGCUCUGAGACAAACACUCAUUCUUCUCCAUACUCACAGCUAUUUCUGCACAUUCUGAGAACUUGGUUUACCGCUUCUCAAAAGUGCCACGUGUUGUACAGCAGAAGAAAGUGAAUCUUGUUUUUGAUGAGGAUACAGGUUUAUCCCGUUCCCACACGUGAAGAGUGAGAACAACAUGAAUAUGGUAUUGGAACAGAGCCAAUAUCGGGCCUUUUUAAGCUCUUAAAGGGAAAAAAUAGCCCGUGUGGUCAACCGAACUGCAAAUUUUUGCCUGGUGUGGUUUACUGUAGUCAUCACAAUUCUGUGGUGGCAAAUGUAGUAGUUUUUCC